rnacentral:rRNA from 1 species
AUCUACAGCCAUACCACUCUGAUCUCAGAAGCUAAGCAGGGUCCAGCCUGGCCAGUGCUUGGAUUGUAGACUUCCUGGGAAUAUUGGGUGCUGUAUGCU